CCUCAACAUUAAUUGUGCAUAUCCUAAAAAUUUGGCAAAAGAAGGAGAUUCAGAGCUUAUUACCUUGGAAAUAGGCCAAGAUCUAAUGUCCGAUGCUACUUUGAGACAUGGGAAGGACAAAACCCUCAUUUCCUUACCUUCUUUGACAACUGCUAAUUUUGACAAUUCUUGUGGUUUAGGGAGUAGUUUGCUCAUGAGGAUAAUCUCCAAUUUUAGUAAGAAG
rnacentral:misc_RNA from 1 species